UACGUAGGGUGCAAGCGUUAAUCGGAAUUACUGGGCGUAAAGCGUGCGCAGGCGGCUUUGCAAGACAGAUGUGAAAUCCCCGGGCUCAACCUGGGAACUGCAUUUGUGACUGCAUGGCUUGAGUGCGGCAGAGGGAGAUGGAAUUCCGCGUGUAGCAGUGAAAUGCGUAGAUAUGCGGAGGAACACCGAUGGCGAAGGCAAUCCCCUGGGCCUGCACUGACGCUCAUGCACGAAAGCGUGGGGAGCAAACAGG
rnacentral:rRNA from 1 species